AUGCCAGCAAUGCUGACUGCUGAUGUGCAAUCUGCCUAUCUAGAUUGUAAUGCCAAAGCUGUGUUCAGCACUGCAGUAGAAGAGCUCCCACAGAACCCUACUGGGACACUCACAAUGAAAAACAUGAUUUCUUUGAAGAAACAGAGAAGAACUCCACCACCAGUUUCUCCUCCUAACUAUAAGGACAGGACGUGCAGUAUCACCAAUGACCUCGCUAGACCCGGAGGGAUGAUAUCAUUACUGCUCUUUGAUACGCAGAUACUGGGAGCUGCUCUUCUUAUCCUGCUGGUUUUGCAUUUAGCCUAUGGAAGAAACAAACAGGUUCUCCUGUGUUCUCCCUGUGCCCAUCCCUCUUGCCUGCCCAGGCUGCACAACUGCAGUGGAUGGGCUGUGGUCUGGGUGGAGCAGGUCCGGCUGCUGACCACAGGCACACAGCUGCUGAUGUGACCAAGCCAUUGACCAUCAGCUCCUGCCUCACAGCAUCACACACCACGCAAGGCCAGUUCAUUCCAGGGACUUAUUAAAAUAUUCUAGACCCCUUUUAAUUUAAGCCAUAAUUGAUAGCUGGCUUUGGCAAAGAGCAAUUUUGCAGUGUUUAAUCGCAGCCACACGAAUGAGCUUCCCUUGAGUCACAGCUACCCCAAUGUGACCAAGGAGCAUCCCCUGAGUCACACUAGCCCAGCCACCUGCCCCUUUCCAGCAGGAGCAGAAAAAACACACAUAUACCUAUAGAAAGACACGUCCUUAAAAAGAAAUAAACAGUUUGUUGUCACCGGGUGGGGGCCA
rnacentral:lncRNA from 1 species